CCCUUAGAUGUUCUGGGCCGCACGCGCGCUACACUGAUGCAUUCAACGAGUCCAACCUUGACCGAGAGGUCCGGGUAAUCUUUGAAACUGCAUCGUGAUGGGGCUAGAUUAUUGCAAUUAUUAAUCUUCAACGAGGAAUGCCUAGUAAGCGUGAUUCAUCAAAUCGCGUUGAUUACGUCCCUGCCCUUGUACACACCGCCCGUCGCUCCUACCGAUUGAGUGUGUUGGUGAGGAGUUUGGAUUGGCCUCGGAAGGUGGUUCGCCACCGUCCGUAGCUGAGAAGUUCUCCAAACCGCCCCACUUAGAGGAAGGAGAAGUCGUAACA
rnacentral:rRNA from 1 species